UACGUAGGUGGCAAGCGUUGUCCGGAAUUAUUGGGCGUAAAGCGCGCGCAGGCGGUCCUUUAAGUCUGAUGUGAAAGCCCACGGCUCAACCGUGGAGGGUCAUUGGAAACUGGGGGACUUGAGUGCAGAAGAGGAAAGCGGAAUUCCACGUGUAGCGGUAAAAUGCGUAGAGAUGUGGAGGAACACCAGUGGCGAAGGCGGCUUUCUGGUCUGUAACUGACGCUGAGGCGCGAAAGCGUGGGGAGCAAACAGG
rnacentral:rRNA from 1 species